UCGAUUCCACACGAUUCCGCCAUUGCUGGUAAAGGAAUGAGCUUUACAUUGUAGAUUUCGAAGUGGGUUUUACGGAUUGGAUUCGCUGCAGUCACAGAGCCACCAUUCUCGUUUCUGGGUUUUGAGCAAGUCCAUUGCUUUUCUUCGUCAGGGUUUUGCACAUCUGAGGUAAGUCUUUUCCGAUUCUGAAGUCUCUCUCUGUUGUGGAAACGAAACAUUGUUGGAGAUUAGGGAAGUAUUAAGACAAGCGAAAACAAAUGGUUGGUAGAGGGAAAUCGAAAUAGGCUUUGUUCCAGAGGUUUUAGUGAUAGAUUGAAGGUUGAUAGCUACUUUUGGUUUGCUAAUCCGUGAAGAAGGAAGUAAAAAUGUGCUUUUGAAUGCUUUGGAUUUGGCUUUAGAAACGUUUCUUACUUCACUUUUUGCUUUCUUGACAAAGUUCUGACAAGUCAUAAG
rnacentral:lncRNA from 1 species